rnacentral:rRNA from 1 species
UGGGGAAUAUUGGACAAUGGGCGCAAGCCUGAUCCAGCCAUGCCGCGUGAGUGAUGAAGGCCCUAGGGUUGUAAAGCUCUUUCACCGGUGAAGAUAAUGACGGUAACCGGAGAAGAAGCCCCGGCUAACUUCGUGCCAGCAGCCGCGGUAAUACGAAGGGGGCUAGCGUUGUUCGGAUUUACUGGGCGUAAAGCGCACGUAGGCGGACUUUUAAGUCAGGGGUGAAAUCCCGGGGCUCAACCCCGGAACUGCCUUUGAUACUGGAAGUCUUGAGUAUGGUAGAGGUGAGUGGAAUUCCGAGUGUAGAGGUGAAAUUCGUAGAUAUUCGGAGGAACACCAGUGGCGAAGGCGGCUCACUGGACCAUUUCUGACGCUGAGGUGCGAAAGCGUGGGGAGCAAACAGG